UACGUAGGGUGCGAGCGUUAAUCGGAAUUACUGGGCGUAAAGCGUGCGCAGGCGGUUUUGUAAGCCAGAUGUGAAAUCCCCGGGCUUAACCUGGGAAUAGCAUUUGGGACUGCAAGGCUUGAGUGCGGCAGAGGAGACUGGAAUUCCUGGUGUAGCAGUGAAAUGCGUAGAUAUCAGGAGGAAUACCGAUGGCGAAGGCAGGUCUCUGGGCUGACACUGACGCUCAUGCACGAAAGCGUGGGGAGCAAACAGG
rnacentral:rRNA from 1 species